rnacentral:lncRNA from 1 species
GAGAGACGAGUUGAAGAAUGUUCACAAAUUUUCCAACUCCGAUUAUGAGGUUUAUGUUAUUUGUUAUUGCUCAUUGAUAGUAAUGAAAAACAUGGUUAACCCUUGGAUUUUAAUAACAUAAUUUCAAAGAAGAGAUGAAGUCAUGAGAAUUUUCUUUGAUUGAAUAUAUUAGCCAGGGAUAUUAAUGAUCCACUCCAAACCUUGAAAUUGUGUAAUUUUGACGUUGAUUUUUAUUUGAGAUGAUUGA